GGAUCUGUAGCUCAACGGUAGAGCGCCGGAGGGGCAUCAUCCGGAGACAGGAACGUCCGACUCGUCCCAGAUCCA
rnacentral:tRNA from 1 species